GAGGGUAAGAGCUCAGUGGCAGAGCAUGUGCUUAGCAGGUAUGAGGUCCUGGGGUCAAUCCCCAGUACCUCCA
rnacentral:tRNA from 1 species